GCCUAGUGAAGUUGAAUGAGAGAGCCAACUGAAAACUGAAGAGAGAAGCACCAGAUAAACAAAUUAUUUUAAACCUUAUCUUCGCGAACUUCCACCGCUCCUCAAUGAAUAAGGAUUGAACUGGAAGAGGGCUCCAAAAUCCAAAUUCCAAAAAUCUUUCUGUGCAAGGCUUAGCUAAGAACCUCCCUCCAAAAGGUGUUGGAAUUGAUGGGGACACUCUUUAGCCUCACUUACCAGCAAGAAGGCCAAUGCCUUUAAGGACCAUGAAGCAAAACCUCAACAAUGUCCCACACGAGUCUCUGCCAU